CACCACUGGAUGAGUGACUUCGC
rnacentral:piRNA from 1 species